AUCAGGACCAGCAUCCAGCUGUGUGUUUGUGUGUUCAGUGGUGAAUGUGAGUGCUGUGACUCUCUCCUGGUACAAAGGAAACAGUUUAUUGUCCAGCAUCAGUGUGUCUGAUCUCAGCAGAAGUCUUUCUUUACAUCUGGAGUGUCUGGAUGAUUUCUACAGCUGUGUGGUGAACAAUCCCAUCAGAAACCAGACUCAACACCUCAACACUGAACUCUGUCAGACAUGUUCAGACUCUGUAUCUCUGAUAGGGCUGAUCUGUGUCAUUGUUGCUGCUGCUGGUUUUCUGUUGAUUGUAGCUGCUGUCGGGAUCUUCUUCAUCUGCAGGAAACACAGAAGAACAGACAAAUAAUUUCAGACCCAUGACAGUGAGAUCACUUACGCUGAAUAUACUGCACUUUCUUCACAUAGUAAUGUACAUUUAACAGUAAAACAAAUGUUUGAGCUAUAGGAUGAAGUGAAGU